UACGAAGGGUGCAAGCGUUGUUCGGAAUUACUGGGCGUAAAGCGCACGUAGGCGGCCAUUCAAGUUGGAAGUGAAAGCCCAAGGCUCAACCUUGGAACUGCUUUCAAAACUGUUUGGCUAGAGUAUGGUAGGGGAUAGUGGAAUUCCUAGUGUAGGGGUGAAAUCCGUAGAUAUUAGGAGGAACACCAGAAGCGAAGGCGACUAUCUGGGCCAUUACUGACGCUAAUGUGCGAAAGCGUGGGGAGCAAACGGG
rnacentral:rRNA from 1 species